GGGCACUUGGCACAGCGGUAGCGCGCAUGCUUCGCAUCUGGAAAUAUGAACAAGUUGCAUGAGGUCGUGAGUUCAAUCCUCACAGUGUCCA